rfam:Amphibacillus xylanus NBRC 15112 DNA, complete genome.
GGGGGCGUUCUGGAUUCGACAGGGGUAGUUUGAGCUCAAGUGGCAUGUCGAGGUUACGGCUCGUAAAACGUUACACGCCAAUAAUAACUGGCAAAACAAAUAAUUACUCUUUAGCAGCUGCUUAAGCACUGUUAAAGGAUCCUUUCCAGCAUCACCCGUGUGCCGGGUUUAGGGUCUCAACUUAAGCGGGAUACGCUAGAUAUCUUACGUCUGGAGACGUCUAGAAGAGCAUAAUCAGACUAGCUACUAGGAAGCCUGUUGGUUGGCAGAAUAGUUAGAGAAUCUAAAAUAAACCGACUACACAUGUAGAAGCUUGAGUGGCGAUAUCUUUGGACGUGGGUUCGACUCCCACCGCCUCCACCA